UACGAAGGGGGCUAGCGUUGCUCGGAAUUGACUAGGGCGUAAAGCGCAGCGUAGGUCGGAUUGUUAAAGUCAGGGGUGAAAUCCCGGGGCUCAACCUCCGGAACUGCCUUUGAUACUGCGGAAAUCUCGAGUUCCGGAAGAGGGAGAGUGGAAUUCCUGGUGUAGCGGUGAAAUGCGCAGAUAUCAGGAAGAACACCCGUGGCGAAGGCGGCUCUCGUGGGACGGUACUGACGCUGAGACGACGAAGCGUGGGGAGCGAACAGG
rnacentral:rRNA from 1 species